rnacentral:rRNA from 1 species
CCUACGGGAGGCAGCAGUGAGGAAUAUUGGUCAAUGGGCGAGAGCCUGAACCAGCCAAGUCGCGUGAGGGAAGACGGUCCUAUGGAUUGUAAACCUCUUUUGCCGGGGAGCAAAAAGCGGUACGUGUACCGCAUCGAGAGUACCCGACGAACAAGCAUCGGCUAACUCCGGGCCAGCAGCCGCGGUAAUACGGGGGGUGCGAGAGUUAUCCGGAUUUGUGGGGUUAAAGGGGUACGCAGGCGGAGAGUUAAGUCAGCGGUAAAAUUUCGGGGCUCAACCCCGAAAAGCCGUUGAAACUGGCGUGCUAGAGUGGGCGAGAAGUAUGCGGAAUGCGUGGUGUAGCGGUGAAAUGCAUAGAUAUCACGCAGAACUCCGAUUGCGAAGGCAGCAUACCGGCGCACAACUGACGCUCAGGCACGAAAGCGUGGGUAGCGAACAGGAUUAGAUACCCCUGUAGUC